UUAAGCGACUAAGCGUACACGGUGGAUGCCCUGGCAGUCAGAGGCGAUGAAGGGCGUGCUAAUCUGCGAUAAGCGCCGGUAAGGUGAUAUGAACCGUUAUAACCGGCGAUACCCGAAUGGGGAAACCCAGUGUGACUCGUCACACUAUCAUUAACUGAAUCCAUAGGUUAAUGAGGCGAACCGGGGGAACUGAAACAUCUAAGUACCCCGAGGAAAAGAAAUCAACCGAGAUUCCCCCAGUAGCGGCGAGCGAACGGGGAGGAGCCCAGAGCCUGAAUCAGCAUGUGUGUUAGUGGAAGCGUCUGGAAAGGCGCGCGAUACAGGGUGACAGCCCCGUACACAAAAGCGCAUGUGCUGUGAGCUCGAUGAGUAGGGCGGGACACGUGGUAUCCUGUCUGAAUAUGGGGGGACCAUCCUCCAAGGCUAAAUACUCCUGACUGACCGAUAGUGAACCAGUACCGUGAGGGAAAGGCGAAAAGAACCCCGGCGAGGGGAGUGAAAAAGAACCUGAAACCGUGUACGUACAAGCAGUGGGAGCCCCACCACCAAAGCNGCUUUGGGGUGGGGUGACUGCGUACCUUUUGUAUAAUGGGUCAGCGACUUAUAUUCUGUAGCAAGGUUAACCGAAUAGGGGAGCCGGAGGGAAACCGAGUCUUAACCGGGCGUUAAGUUGCAGGGUAUAGACCCGAAACCCGGUGAUCUAGCCAUGGGCAGGUUGAAGGUUGGGUAACACUAACUGGAGGACCGAACCGACUAAUGUUGAAAAAUUAGCGGAUGACCUGUGGCUGGGGGUGAAAGGCCAAUCAAACCGGGAGAUAGCUGGUUCUCCCCGAAAGCUAUUUAGGUAGCGCCUCGUGAAUUCAUCUCCGGGGGUAGAGCACUGUUUCGGCUAGGGGGCCAUCCCGGCUUACCAACCCGAUGCAAACUGCGAAUACCGGAGAAUGUUAUCACGGGAGACACACGGCGGGUGCUAACGUCCGUCGUGAAGAGGGAAACAACCCAGACCGCCAGCUAAGGUCCCAAAGUCAUGGUUAAGUGGGAAACGAUGUGGGAAGGCCCAGACAGCCAGGAUGUUGGCUUAGAAGCAGCCAUCAUUUAAAGAAAGCGUAAUAGCUCACUGGUCGAGUCGGCCUGCGCGGAAGAUGUAACGGGGCUAAACCAUGCACCGAAGCUGCGGCAGCGACGCUUAUGCGUUGUUGGGUAGGGGAGCGUUCUGUAAGCCUGUGAAGGUGGCCUGUGAGGGUUGCUGGAGGUAUCAGAAGUGCGAAUGCUGACAUAAGUAACGAUAAAGCGGGUGAAAAGCCCGCUCGCCGGAAGACCAAGGGUUCCUGUCCAACGUUAAUCGGGGCAGGGUGAGUCGACCCCUAAGGCGAGGCCGAAAGGCGUAGUCGAUGGGAAACGGGUUAAUAUUCCCGUACUUGGUGUUACUGCGAAGGGGGGACGGAGAAGGCUAUGUUGGCCGGGCGACGGUUGUCCCGGUUUAAGCGUGUAGGUGUGUGUUCCAGGUAAAUCCGGUUCACUUUAACACUGAGGCGUGAUGACGAGGCACUACGGUGCUGAAGCAACAAAUGCCCUGCUUCCAGGAAAAGCCUCUAAGCAUCAGGUAACAUCAAAUCGUACCCCAAACCGACACAGGUGGUCAGGUAGAGAAUACCAAGGCGCUUGAGAGAACUCGGGUGAAGGAACUAGGCAAAAUGGUGCCGUAACUUCGGGAGAAGGCACGCUGACACGUAGGUGAAGUGAUUUACUCAUGGAGCUGAAGUCAGUCGAAGAUACCAGCUGGCUGCAACUGUUUAUUAAAAACACAGCACUGUGCAAACACGAAAGUGGACGUAUACGGUGUGACGCCUGCCCGGUGCCGGAAGGUUAAUUGAUGGGGUCAGCGCAAGCGAAGCUCCUGAUCGAAGCCCCGGUAAACGGCGGCCGUAACUAUAACGGUCCUAAGGUAGCGAAAUUCCUUGUCGGGUAAGUUCCGACCUGCACGAAUGGCGUAAUGAUGGCCAGGCUGUCUCCACCCGAGACUCAGUGAAAUUGAACUCGCUGUGAAGAUGCAGUGUACCCGCGGCAAGACGGAAAGACCCCGUGAACCUUUACUAUAGCUUGACACUGAACAUUGAGCCUUGAUGUGUAGGAUAGGUGGGAGGCUUUGAAGUGUGGACGCCAGUCUGCAUGGAGCCGACCUUGAAAUACCACCCUUUAAUGUUUGAUGUUCUAACGUGGACCCGUGAUCCGGGUUGCGGACAGUGUCUGGUGGGUAGUUUGACUGGGGCGGUCUCCUCCUAAAGAGUAACGGAGGAGCACGAAGGUUGGCUAAUCCUGGUCGGACAUCAGGAGGUUAGUGCAAUGGCAUAAGCCAGCUUGACUGCGAGCGUGACGGCGCGAGCAGGUGCGAAAGCAGGUCAUAGUGAUCCGGUGGUUCUGAAUGGAAGGGCCAUCGCUCAACGGAUAAAAGGUACUCCGGGGAUAACAGGCUGAUACCGCCCAAGAGUUCAUAUCGACGGCGGUGUUUGGCACCUCGAUGUCGGCUCAUCACAUCCUGGGGCUGAAGUAGGUCCCAAGGGUAUGGCUGUUCGCCAUUUAAAGUGGUACGCGAGCUGGGUUUAGAACGUCGUGAGACAGUUCGGUCCCUAUCUGCCGUGGGCGCUGGAGAACUGAGGGGGGCUGCUCCUAGUACGAGAGGACCGGAGUGGACGCAUCACUGGUGUUCGGGUUGUCAUGCCAAUGGCACUGCCCGGUAGCUAAAUGCGGAAGAGAUAAGUGCUGAAAGCAUCUAAGCACGAAACUUGCCCCGAGAUGAGUUCUCCCUGAGACUU
rnacentral:rRNA from 1 species